rnacentral:tRNA from 1 species
UUAAUUAAAACCAAAAAAGCGGUAUAUUAUUGUUAAUAAUAAAACUGAUAAAAAUUAUCUAAUUAAA